AUUGAACGCUGGCGGCAUGCUUUACACAUGCAAGUCGAACGGCAGCACGGGUGCUUGCACCUGGUGGCGAGUGGCGAACGGGUGAGUAAUGCAUCGGAACGUACCUAUCAGUGGGGGAUAACACAUCGAAAGAUGUGCUAAUACCGCAUAUUAUCCGAGGAUGAGAGCGGGGGACCUUAGGGCCUCGCGCUGAUAGAGCGGCCGAUGUCGGAUUAGCUAGUUGGUGAGGUAAAGGCUCACCAAGGCGACGAUCCGUAGCGGGUCUGAGAGGAUGAUCCGCCACACUGGGACUGAGACACGGCCCAGACUCCUACGGGAGGCAGCAGUGGGGAAUUUUGGACAAUGGGCGAAAGCCUGAUCCAGCCAUGCCGCGUGAGUGAAGAAGGCCUUCGGGUUGUAAGCUCUUUG
rnacentral:rRNA from 1 species